GGCCAGUGAUGCAUGAAAAUAUUUGCUACUCUUGAUGGGUUUUUCCUAUUUGAUGAUUUUUUAUCCACCAAGAUCUCUGAGGCU
rnacentral:snoRNA from 1 species